rnacentral:lncRNA from 10 species
AGAUGUGACCCCGCUCCAGCUGGGCACUUCCAAGAAGUCUGUGAAAGAACAGAGCAAGUGUGACGGGCAGGGCUGUGAACCUCUGAGUGCUUCAGAUGUAAAAGUGUGGAAGACGUCGGGCUGUGAGUGUCACGCAGCAGAAAGGUGGAGGAGGCCUCUCAGGUCGGAAGUAACAUGGUGCGCAGAAGGCAGUUUGUAUGCACAGUGGAGCACAUGUGUUGAUGCCUGAAAGCCCACAUUGAGAUCCUGGCUCAACCUCUCGCCAACGGUGUCAUUUGGACAAAUCUCUUAAUCUAUGCAACGUACAAUGAGGACAGUAGUCACAGGACAUAACUUAUGGAGUUCUGUGAAUAUAAGG